GACGAAGGGGGCUAGCGUUGUUCGGAAUGACUGGGCGUAAAGGGCGCGUAGGCGGUUUAUUAAGUUAGGUGUGAAAGACCUGGGCUCAACCUAGGAACAGCACUUAAUACUGGUAGACUAGAGGUCAGUAGAGGAAAGCGGAAUUCCUAGUGUAGAGGUGAAAUUCGUAGAUAUUAGGAGGAACACCAGAGGCGAAGGCGGCUUUCUGGGCUGAAUCUGACGCUGAGGCGCGAAAGCGUGGGGAGCAAACAGG
rnacentral:rRNA from 1 species